rnacentral:lncRNA from 1 species
UAUCGUCUGCCCCUGUUAAGACCGAUCAUUAUUGAAAUUGAGACAACACAAAAUAAAUGGCAUCAACUAUAACAUCCAUGACUAACAUCAACUUUCAACAUCUACUAUAAUUAAACAUUCCAUGAACAUGAGUUUGAAAUUAAAAAUGUCAAACCUCAUAUGAAUGAACACUGAUUUUAAUAAGAAAAAAAACCAAAUAAGAGAUUUUCCAAAUAAAUUGAAUCUACAUUGCAACAUAGAACAUUUCAUGCUCAAGAAUAGACAAAUCUUCUGCAUUCGAAAAUCAAAAUCACUUCUAACCAAACUUGAACUCAUGCACUUAAAGAAUCUAGCAGUAGAAUCAUUUAAUUCUUCAAAUUGGAUAUCAGAAAUGCAACAGUGGCCUCUAUAUUAAUGUGGAUAUUAGAACCCAAACAUUUAACCAACUACAUUGUGGGAGGAGAUCCAUGUGAACUGAUUGAUUAUUACCACGAGCCCCAAAAGAACUCAAUCACAAUAUUACACAAUGAAUAUACCACUCGUCUAAAUCAGUCCAUGAUGCACAGUCCUUAUUACAUACGUGAAUAGGAUGGUUCAACUCAAUUAGAUCCAAAGUGAAUAAAAUAAAUUCUGAACAUAUACCCCAAAAGUGCUGCUAAUAACAUACAAGUACUACAUCACAUAGUAAACUAAUUUAACGAAGAAAAAGAAGCAUGAAGGAUCUUCAAAAAAUAAAACCAAACAUUCAUUAGAUUCCACUCAUCCAUAGGAGUUCAAGUUAAUCAUUUAGCUUCAAAUGUGCAUUUCAUACACUCAUAGGGUCCAAAAGAGUACCUAGUUACAACAAAGUAAAAAGGAAAGUAAGCUUGGAGCUCAAGAAGAAGCAGCAAAGUAUCUGCAAUGUUAAUACAUCCAACUAACAGCAACAAAUCAGUCCUUCCAAGCUUUUUUGAACCCAAAAUAAACCAGAAAACUCUUGAAUGAUUUCAAACUUAUAAAGAUUACAGCAAACCCAAGCUAAUUUCUACCAACUAUGCAAAUGAUUUGCAGUAUUUUUACACUCAGCCAUUUUUUCUUAGCAUUUUAGUAUUGUAAUUCUCCCAAAAUCUAACUUGAGAGUGAAGUAACAAGCCUUUUAUAAAGAAGCUUUAGGGCAGCAGAAAAAAUGGUUCAGAUUUUUCCCAUUACCCUUUUUCAAAUUUUGUUUUUCCUACUUAUUCCUUCAAUUCAAAUUCUGUUUUUAAAACAGUCCCAGCCCACCUUCCUAGCGGCUUCCUAAAUCAGUUAUGAUAGAUUCCCUAAACUAAAAUUUCUAGACUACCCUUAAAAUGUCUGCUAUUUACUUUCAGCAAAACAGAUAUGGGUCAAGCUUGACCUAAAACUUAACAGUCCUCUUGAAGUGGGGUCGAGGAUGGCCUCAAAGUCCAAUCAACAAACUGAUCCAAACCAAUUGCAGUAGUCUAUGAAAAGCAGAAGAAGAAACCAUUUAAAUGAUUUAAAAACUAAAAUCUAACUAAAUGACUGAAUACUAACACAAAUAAGCAUAGAAUUAACUAGGUUACUGAAUCGAAUCGACCUAAUUAAACUGACUAUAAUGCUAAAACAAGAAAGACAAAAAUCAGGAUCUUAACAUGACAUUAAUAAAAGCUAAACAUGUCAAUGAAUAAACCAACAAAAAUCAGAGAACAACUUUUAAAAUGUGAAAAGAAAACUGAAAAGCAAACGGAACAAAUACGAAUACAAAUCAAUAUUAAGGGAAAAACCUAGGUUCAGAUUUGGACCUUUGCUGAAUUUCAAACAGAAGAAACUACCUAAAGAAAAGUAGAAGAAAGAGAAAGAGAAUAGAAAGAUGAAGCGGUAGAAAGUAAAACAAAAGAAAAAUACCUAAGUUGAUCUAGUGAGACUCCGGCUUGCUUUGAUUUGAGCCCAAAGUUGAUGUCAACUGUGUGUUCUUGUCAAGAAUAAACAGACAACGUCAGCUUCAUGCCUAAUCGACCCCCUUAGCCUUGCACGCUACGGAUCUAUGGAAGUUGAUUUUGGGGCUUAGGGCUUCAACCUUAGAUUCAAGAUUCGAACAAGUGUAGAGGGAUUCGAGGGAAGUUAGUCAAGAUUGGGAAAGAGGAGGCCAUGGGGGUUUUGUGGUGUUAAUUUGGGGGGGAGGGGUGAGUUUGAGGCGGCGCCGCCACCAGAGAGAAUUGGCGUUUU